rnacentral:rRNA from 1 species
CAGUAGCCGCGGGAAAACGAAGGGGGCUAGCGUUGCUCGGAAUGACUGGGCGUAAAGGGCGCGUAGGCGGCGAUCAAAGUCAGGCGUGAAAUUCCUGGGCUCAACCUGGGGACUGCGCUUGAUACUUGGUUGCUUGAGUGGGGAAGAGGGUCGUGGAAUUCCCAGUGUAGAGGUGAAAUUCGUAGAUAUUGGGAAGAACACCGGUGGCGAAGGCGGCGACCUGGUCCUUGACUGACGCUGAGGCGCGAAAGCGUGGGGAGCAAACAGGAUUAGAUACCCCGGUAGUCCCUGUCUCUUAUAC